rnacentral:rRNA from 1 species
GGGGAAUAUUGGGCAAUGGGCGAAAGCCUGACCCAGCAACGCCGCGUGAAGGAAGAAGGUCUUCGGAUUGUAAACUUCUUUUAUCAGGGACGAAGUAAGUGACGGUACCUGAUGAAUAAGCCACGGCUAACUACGUGCCAGCAGCCGCGGUAAUACGUAGGUGGCAAGCGUUAUCCGGAUUUACUGGGUGUAAAGGGCGCGUAGGCGGGGAUACAAGUCAGAUGUGAAAUCUAUGGGCUUAACCCAUAAACUGCAUUUGAAACUGUAUCUCUUGAGUGUCGGAGAGGUAGACGGAAUUCCUAGUGUAGCGGUGAAAUGCGUAGAUAUUAGGAGGAACACCAGUGGCGAAGGCGGUCUACUGGACGAUAACUGACGCUGAGGCGCGAAAGCGUGGGGAGCAAAC